CGUGUAGGCGGCUAAUUAAGUCAGGCGUGAAAUCUAUGGGCUUAACCCAUAAAUUGCGUUUGAAACUGGAUAGCUUGAGGAUCGGAGAGGGCAGUGGAAUUCCCAGUGUAGCGGUGAAAUGCGUAGAUAUUGGGAGGAACACCAGUGGCGAAGGCGACUGCCUGGACGACACCUGACGCUGAGGCGCGAAAGCUAGGGGAGCAAACGGGAUUAGAUACCCCGGUAGUCCUAGCCGUAAACGAUGGGUACUAGGUGUGGGAGGUAUCGACCCCUUCCGUGCCGCAGUUAACACAAUAAGUAUCCCACCUGGGGAGUACGGCCGCAAGGUUGAA
rnacentral:rRNA from 1 species